GAUGAACGCUAGCGGCAGGCCUAACACAUGCAAGUCGAGGGAGAAGCCCUUUCGGGGGCCGAAACCGGCGCACGGGUGCGUAACGCGUAUGCAACCUACCUUUCACAGGGGGAUAGCCCGAAGAAAUUUGGAUUAAUACCCCAUAAUAUUAUUGGAUGGCAUCAUUUGAUAAUUAAAACUGCGGUGGUGAAAGAUGGGCAUGCGUCCUAUUAGCUAGUUGGAGUGGUAACGGCACCCCAAGGCUACGAUAGGUAGGGGUCCUGAGAGGGAGAUCCCCCACACUGGUACUGAGACAGGGACCAGACUCCUACGGGAGGCAGCAGUGAGGAAUAGUGGUCAAUGGUCGGAAGACUGAACCAGCCAUGCCGCGUGCAGGAAGAAUGCCUUAUGGGUUGUAAACUGCUUUUAUAUGGGAAGAAUAAGGCGUACGUGUACGUUGAUGACGGUACCAUAUGAAUAAGCAUCGGCUAACUCCGUG
rnacentral:rRNA from 1 species